GCAAACUUGGUCAUUUAGAGGAAGUAAAAGUCGUAACAAGGUUUCCGUAGGUGAACCUGCGGAAGGAUCAUUAAAAAAAGGGUCUUUUGACCCAUUUUUUUAAAAACCCACUAUCAAUUCUAGCCCAUCGGGUCAGAUGGAAGUGGGUUUUUUUCAAACACCAAAAUUUUAAACUAUUCGUCUUAUGACGAAACCAAAAAUUAAUAAAUAAAACUUUCAACAAUGGAUCUCUUGGCUCUCGCAUCGAUGAAGAACGCAGC
rnacentral:misc_RNA from 1 species